GUUUUUUUUCGUCUGUGCACUAAAAAUAGGCCUAUUUAAAAAGAAAUAAAAUUCGGGGAUGUAGUGGCCAAGUCUUUCAUCAUGGAAAGAGCAUCUUUAUUCGUCAUCUUGGCUCGCCUCCUUUCGCAACCGCCAUCUGUCAGUAUUUAUACACAUACGUAUAAUUAGCCAAAAAGGCGAGUAAGAAAAUGUGAUCAAGGGAGGUGAAAGUUGCAACCCAAGUUUCCGAACGGGGGAGAAUAACUUCAAACGGCAUUUCAAAAGGGGGCAGCGCCGAUCAAUCACCCUUUUAGAACUUUACUCAAGUCAAACUACCUAAUAUCACAUUGAAUAUUGAAAAAUUUCAAUGCUGACUAUAAUGUAUUGGGAUGCGCAGUGGUAAUAGUGCCAGGCCUCAUUAUCACGUGAUGGACGUGUUCCGCGUAUCUCCCAACGCGAAGUUUAACGGUCUGAGUGGCACUGCCAAAACAAACAAAACGCAAGACACAUGUCAAAGAUAAUAAUUUCAAACGCGAAACUAAUGUGACUCUUCUUUUUUUUUUUUUUUUUUUUUGAUGUUCGAGUUACAGUCUCUUUUCUUUCGUUUGGCCGUUGUGUGUCUUUCAAAACGAUGAGUGUCCUGCGUGAGUAUUCGCGUCGUCAAGAGGCACUCGUCCAGAGAAAGAGAGGACACACGCAUUUUAAAAAAUCCAAUUGAAUAAGAGACUCGGCAGAAAGAAAAGAAAAUAGAAAAUUCAACACAAAAACAGGGAGGAAAAAUAACAGAUGGAAAAAUCCUGGCGAUAGAACUGAAGCAAACGACACGAAAUGUGAAAAGAAAAAAGAGUAAAGAGGAAGCAUCUCCUUGUUAUCACUCAAACGCAGCAGACGGUGCAUAGAGUCGUCUGCUUCCGCUAAAUGAAACUCCAUCCUCUCGUUAUGCGGUGUAUCAUCAUGGCCGCUGAUUUGCUUCGUCACACCAAGUUUGCGUGACACUGCCAAGCCCCGCUUUUUUUUUCUUCAUUUGCAACGUCUGUUUGAUGCAGCAUCUCCGACUCAGCUUUGAUGAAUAAUUAGCGAGCAAACACAUGGCGUAGAGAUCCAGCCAAAAAGGGACGUUUUUUGCACACAAGGAUUGGAGGAAAAGUUUUGACAUCUUCAAGGCGCCACCGUUUGACUUUUAUACAAAGCCAUUAGAGUCUCCAGCACUUCGGGAUUAUAGCCCUCCAGCACGGGCUGGUUGUUAACGUAAUCGCAUUUGGCAAACAUGGGCUGAGGUCCUUCGACCCAAAACAAGUUAUGUGCCGCCUCACUACUGUCCAAAUCCAAAGAGUGGAGCUGGAAACAGCCGAAAUAAAAGUUGCGGCUGUCGGUUUGUACGCAGUUAAUAGUCACUGGUUCGGGAAGUUCCUUCACGUCUUUCUGUUACGAAAAAAAACAAAAUAAAAACAUACGUCA